GAUGAACGCUGGCGGCGUGCCUAAUACAUGCAAGUCGAGCGAACGGACGAGGAGCUUGCUCCUCUGACGUUAGCGGCAGACGGGUGAGUAACACGUGGAUAACCUACCUAUAAGACUGGGAUAACUUCGGGAAACCGGAGCUAAUACCGGAUAAUAUAUUGAACCGCAUUGUUCAAUAGUGAAAGACGGUUUUGCUGUCACUUAUAGAUGGAUCCGCGCCGCAUUAGCUAGUUGGUAAGGUAACGGCUUACCAAGGCAACGAUGCGUAGCCGACCUGAGAGGGUGAUCGGCCACACUGGAACUGAGACACGGUCCAGACUCCUACGGGAGGCAGCAGUAGGGAAUCUUCCGCAAUGGGCGAAAGCCUGACGGAGCAACGCCGCGUGAGUGAUGAAGGUCUUCGGAUCGUAAAACUCUGUUAUUAGGGAAGAACAAAUGUGUAAGUAACUAUGCACGUCUUGACGGUACCUAAUCAGAAAGCCACGGCUAACUACGUG
rnacentral:rRNA from 1 species